rnacentral:rRNA from 1 species
AUGGCACGAGCAAGAUGUUGUCAGGUGAUGGCACCCACCAAUCACACCUACAACAUACUAAUUGACUGCUGCUGCCGCUCGCGCCGCCCUGACAUAGGGCCCGCCUUCUUCGGCCUCCUCCUCAAGACAGGCAUCACGGCAGGUGUCUUCACCUUCAACGGCUUAUUGAAGUGUCUCUGUGACAUGAAGCGGAUAGACGAGGCUCUAGGUGUGCUGCUCCACAGGAUGCCCGGCGACAUGCCUGAUGUCAUCUCCUACUCAGUAAUUAUCAAGAGCUUUUGUGACAACGGGAGGAGCCAACGUGCACUUGACCUGCUCCGGAUGAUGACCAAAAAGGGACUGACCACUCCCCCAAUGUGGUUUCAUACAUAA